rnacentral:rRNA from 1 species
UACGUAGGGUGCGAGCGUUAAUCGGAAUUACUGGGCGUAAAGCGUGCGCAGGCGGUGAUGUAAGACAGUUGUGAAAUCCCCGGGCUCAACCUGGGAACUGCAUCUGUGACUGCAUUGCUGGAGUGCGGCAGAGGGGGGAUGGAAUUCCGCGUGUAGCAGUGAAAUGCGUAGAUAUGCGGAGGAACACCGAUGGCGAAGGCAAUCCCCUGGGCCUGCACUGACGCUCAUGCACGAAAGCGUGGGGAGCAAACAGG